CCCUUUUGGGACUGGAUAUCUCGGGAACUGAGAAUAAUGCCCGAUAGAACAUUAUGCCUGGAAUGGUUUAUGUUUCAAAUGAUUUAUCGCCAUAGGAUGGGACUGCGGCCUAUCAGUUUGUUGGUGAGGUAAUGGCCCACCAAGACUAUUACAGGUACGGGCUCUGAGAGGAGUAGCCCGGAGAUGGGUACUGAGACACGGACCCAGGCCCUAUGGGGCGCAGCAGGCGAGAAAACUUUGCAAUGUGCGAAAGCACGACAAGGUUAAUCCGAGUGGUUUCUGCUAAAGAAACCUUUUGUCAGUCCUAGAAACACUGAUGAAUAAGGGGUGGGCAAGUUCUGGUGUCAGCCGCCGCGGUAAAACCAGCACCUCAAGUGGUCAGGAUGAUUAUUGGGCCUAAAGCAUCCGUAGCUCGUUUUGUAAGUUUUCGGUUAAAUCCAUGCGCUUAACGUAUGGGCUGCCGGGAAUACUGCAUAACUAGGAAGUGGGAGAGGUAGACGGUACUCGGUAGGAAGGGGUAAAAUCCUUUGAUCUAUUGAUGACCACCUGUGGCGAAGGCGGUCUACCAGAACACGUUCGACGGUGAGGGAUGAAAGCUGGGGGAGCAAACCGGAUUAGAUACCCGGGUAGUCCCAGCUGUAAACUAUGCAAACUCAGUGAUGCAUUGGCUUGUGGCCAAUGCAGUGCUGCAGGGAAGCCGUUAAGUUUGCCGCCUGGGAAGUACGUACGCAAGUAUGAAACUUAAAGGAAUUGGCGGGGGAGCAC
rnacentral:rRNA from 1 species